UGGUGUCCUCAGUUGUGCAGUGUGGGGGACAGCUCGGCCCUCACCAGCUGCAGUACGAAGCAGCUUCCCCCUACCUUACUGGAGAAUCACAGUACGAAUGGCCCUGGUUUGGGGGAUUGUGGGUGAGCUGGGCCCCAAGGGUAUGAGUACAGGAGAACUGGCUGUGCUCACGGGCCAUCUGGCGGUAUGGGCAUGGGAAAGAUGCAUCCCCACCCCUGGCCACCUGGAGCAGAUGAGAAGGCUGGCCCCGCCCUUUGCCAACUGUAACAUUCGGGAGAGCGCCCUAAACCUUGCUUUGGCAGGACAGUAGAGCUGGCCAAGGAGGUGUGAGCAGAGGAGAGCUAUGAGACUGACUAACUCAGCUGCUACCCAGCCCCUGAUCCAGGGGUGUGAGUGGGCUCAGUCCAACAUCCACCCCAUCGAUGACCUGCUGGAGCAGAACCAAAGCUGCAGGUCUCCGUGACCCAGGGCAACAGCAGGAUGUCUGAGAGGAGUCCCAGUGAGGAUCCACUCUUGAUAGUGGAGCAGAAGCCAGAGGCAUCAAACCGGACCAAUGACUCACUGCGAUAAACAUCUGCAAAUGAAGCUGUCUCGGCAGAAGGGUGUGCUGUGCUGUGUUACACACUGUUACACACACUGUGAGAUUUUGUUUUUCUUUUCAGGGAAAGGUGCAAAGGCAGAGGGUAGAUAUGGAGGGAUGAAUGUGUUGUGUUAGAAUCGUGGCUCACGUCUGGACAGACCACACCAGGCAGUGCAGUUCCUCAUGAGAGAGGUUUAUUGUGGGGGAAGGGAACUAAAUGGGUGACAGAGACAAAGGGGGAAGAGAGAGAGAAGAAAGGGCAAAGGUCAGGAAGGCUCUGCCUUGUAUUUAGGCGGUGACCUAACUGCUCUUAGGUAAAGGUGGGAGCUAAACCAAAUGAACUCUGGGAAUGUAUGGCCAUUACCAUGGCAACAGAUGCAUGGGUCCCUGUGGCCUAUGGUGACAUCGUCGUCAUCACUGGGUUUGGAGGGGAUCUGUAACCAACCACCAGGCCAGUUCCUGAUGCCAGCAGAAUGGAUGAGUGGGAUAGGUGUGCAUGAUGGGAAAUUCUCAAAGAAUCAAUAAAAAGUUUGUCUUUUAAAGCUCUUUUUAAAGAUAAACGUGGGGUCGGGGAAGUAUAUGAAUGUAAUUGCAGGGGCCCAAAGAGGCCAAAAGCAUCAGAUUCCCCCUGGAGAUGCAGUUACAGGAGGUUGUAAUCUACCUGAGACAGGUGCUGGGACCCAAACUCAGAGCCUCUGCAGAAGCAGUAGACAUUCCUGUCCACUGAACCAUUUCUUCAGCCUCUUUAAAGCAUUUAAAGCACAUUUUCUGUUAUUGUGGUUGUUGUCUAUUUUUCUGUUUGGGACACUGCUCCUUAUCACCCAGGCUGGUCCUUGUCAGCAUCCUUUAGUGCUAGGAUGACAGGAGUGGACCACCGUGCUUAGCCAUAUAUCAACAUUUGUGUAACUAUAACAGUAAAUAUUGUGGUUACUUGUCUUCUUUCCAUGACCAAAACCCCAGGCAGAAUCAGAUUGAUAGAGGGAAGGGUUUACUUUGGCUCACAGCUUAAACCUGUCAUGGUCAGGGAGGCACAGCGACAGCGGUGUGUGAACUAUAUUUAUCUCAGUCAGGAAGUAAGAGCAACCAGAGGCAGAGCCCUGUACACCGCCUCAAGGCCCACGUGCAGUGACCCACUCCCUCUCGCAAGGUCCCACCUCCUACAGCUUCCACGAGUUUCCCAAACGGUUGCACCAACUGGGGCCUACUUACUCAAACACUCAAGCAUAUGGGGGAUCUUGUAAAACUCAAACGGCAGUGGUUACACCGCAGGGCAACAUCCCUGUGGAUAUUAGUCAAAGUAGGUAUGGUGGUACGGGCCUGCACCCCAGCUCUACUGAAGAAGAUGCAGGAGGAUACCGAGUUGGAGGCAGGCCUGGGCAUGUAUCAAGACACUAUGUGAAAACCUGACUGAGUAAAAGUGUACUAUGUAACCGUGCUAAUCUGGGGAAACCGUGCAGGGUUGCUUAGAAAGAAGUAAGGCCAGAGGCAGGAAGUCCAGAUGGAAGCCUUCAGGGCGAUGAGGUACAGCAAUCGUGUGUCGGGUAUAGCAAUCUCCACCAGUCGGGAGGAGAGAACAGACUCAAAGGCAUGCACCCUACAUUUUCUCUUCUUCAUCAUGCUUUUGGGUCUUUUCACACACACACUUCUCGCAGCCAAGGUCCUUAUGGCUCUGCUCGCCUCACUAGUCAGUCCUCAAACACAGCUCAACUUGGGUGGGUGCCUUUCAAUAGCUCUUGUUCCCUUUAGUGCAAACCACACUGUGAAUGCUAAUCACAUUUAUAGCAGGCUUAUUUACCCACUGUCUUUCAAAAGACUAUAAGCUUCUAAAUAUGUAGUAGCCUAGUGUCUGGCCCCAUAGACAUAUACACAAAAAAUGGUUUAUUCAAGUGUCCUUUGAGGAACUCACCUUUCCAAGUUUGGAACAACUGUUAUACAAAUAUACAAUGUAUUUUUUUGUGUGUUUUGUUAAGAGACAAAAAUCACAGGGCUUCAAAAACGGAAGGUCGGGUCAAAAACGAAGUGGGGGCUUAAAACUCUGAGCGUUGAGCCUACUCAUUUCUUGAGUUGAGUUUAUUUCCCUUGGAAUAACCAUAGAAACGUUUAAAGAGCUUCCUUGGAGGUGGAGAGCCUUAGCCCACUACACUUCUGCAAAAUCUUCUCUGGUUUCUCUUUCAUGGUUUAAGAAUAAAUCUUGCCCUGCCCCACCUAGGCAGCUGUGACUGCCCUGAAGAAGUGAGGCCAACAAAGCAUUCUGAGCCUGGGACUCAUCAACUGCCCCUGUCACAGUAGGAGCCCAGCAGGAACACCUGACAGUGUUUACACAGGAACAUCUGGAUUCUGGAUAAAGACCGCUGCCACCCAAACCAGAAAGACCAAUAGGCUCUCUGAGAUGCUUCAAAAUCAAUAGCUCCAGCCUCACAGGCCUUCAGGACCAGCACUAAGGAUACAAAUUUAUUUUUAUUUUAUUUUUUAAAUUUGAAACAGGAUAUAUGUUUCCAUUGUUGAACUCAAACUCUUGUUGUGGAUCAAGUCGGCAAGCCUCCUUCUCCUGUCUCCCAGUGCUGGGAUCGUGAGUGAAGACCACCCUGCCUGGACAAAUAGAUCUUUCUUUAAUACUUUGUUAUCUGUUUAUGUAUGCAUGUGCAAAUAUUAAAUGUUAAAUGUAUGCAUGUUAUAAAUAAAUAAACAAAUAAAUAAAUAAAUAAA